UACGAAGGGGGCUAGCGUUGCUCGGAAUUACUGGGCGUAAAGGGCGCGCAGGCGGCUGCUCAAGUCAGGCGUGAAAGGCCUGGGCUCAACCCGGGAAUUGCGCUUGAGACUGGGCUGGCUUGAGUGCGGGAGAGGAUGGUGGAAUUCCCAGUGUAGAGGUGAAACUCGUAGAUAUUGGGAAGAACACCAGUGGCGAAGGCGGCUAUCUGGACGGUUUCUGACGCUAAGACGCGAAAGCGUGGGGAGCAAACAGG
rnacentral:rRNA from 1 species